rnacentral:rRNA from 1 species
AACGAACGCUGGCGGCAGGCCCAACACAUGCAAGUCGAGCGGAUGAGUGGAGCUUGCUCCAUGAUUCAGCGGCGGACGGGUGAGUAAUGCCUAGGAAUCUGCCUGGUAGUGGGGGACAACGUUUCGAAAGGAACGCUAAUACCGCAUACGUCCUACGGGAGAAAGCAGGGGACCUUCGGGCCUUGCGCUAUCAGAUGAGCCUAGGUCGGAUUAGCUAGUAGGUGAGGUAAUGGCUCACCUAGGCGACGAUCCGUAACUGGUCUGAGAGGAUGAUCAGUCACACUGGAACUGAGACACGGUCCAGACUCCUACGGGAGGCAGCAGUGGGGAAUAUUGGACAAUGGGCGAAAGCCUGAUCCAGCCAUGCCGCGUGUGUGAAGAAGGUCUUCGGAUUGUAAAGCACUUUAAGUUGGGAGGAAGGGCAGUAAGUUAAUACCUUGCUGUUUUGACGUUACCGACAGAAUAAGCACCGGCUAACUCUGUGCCAGCCGCCGCUGUAAGAC